CGGCGAACGGGUGCGUAACACGUGGGCAACCUGCCCCUGACACUGGGAUAACCCCGGGAAACCGGAGCUAAUACCGGAUACUCUCGGCCGAUCACAUGGCUGGCCGAGGAAAGGUCCGCCGGUCAGGGAUGGGCCCGCGGCCUAUCAGCUUGUUGGUGAGGUAACGGCCCACCAAGGCGACGACGGGUAGCUGGUCUGAGAGGACGACCAGCCACACUGGAACUGAGAUACGGUCCAG
rnacentral:rRNA from 1 species